rnacentral:rRNA from 1 species
UACGAAGGGGGCUAGCGUUGUUCGGAAUCACUGGGCGUAAAGCGCACGUAGGCGGAUGUGUCAGUCAGGGGUGAAAUCCCGGAGCUCAACUUCGGAACUGCCUCUGAUACAGCACGUCUUGAGUCCGAUAGAGGUGGGUGGAACUCCUAGUGUAGAGGUGAAAUUCGUAGAUAUUAGGAAGAACACCGGUGGCGAAGGCGGCCCACUGGAUCGGUACUGACGCUGAGGUGCGAAAGCGUGGGGAGCAAACAGG